rnacentral:lncRNA from 1 species
ACCAUUUCUCAACCUUAAUCCAAAACUAGUUUUCUUUGAAUUUAAGUCAUAUAGAUCAUCCCUCUAUUUAAUCAUAUAGUUAAUCCCUCUAUGUAUGGAGAUUUUUUUUUUUUUUUUUUAAUUUUGUGUGAAAAUCUAUCAAAAUUGACAAUCUUUAUAAGACCGAAUAUGUAAAAAUGAGUAUUUAUAUGAUAAAAAUUUAAUAUAUAAGCGGACUUCUCCGGACAUAAAAAUGUCCAAGCGUUUACAAAUACUUGUCCACAUAUUAGAGUAUGGAACUGUC